rnacentral:rRNA from 1 species
CUACCAUGGCGUUUACGGGUAACGGAGGAUUAGGGUUCGAUUCCGGAGAGGGAGCCUGAGAAACGGCUACCACAUCUAAGGAAGGCAGCAGGCGCGUAAAUUACCCAAUCCUGACUCAGGGAGGUAGUGACAAGAAAUAACGGACCGGGGUCUUUUUCGAGACUUCGGGAUUGCAAUGAGCCGAAUUUACACCCCUUGGCGAGAAUCAAUUGGAGGGCAAGUCUGGUGCCAGCAGCCGCGGUAAUUCCAGCUCCAAUAGCGUAUAUUAAAGUUGUUGCAGUUAAAAAGCUCGUAGUUGGAUUUCUGGGAGCGCGCCAAUGUCCGCCCUCCGGCGAGCGCAGCGGCGCGCUUCCAUCCUUCUGUUAACGCCUCUUGGCAUUCACUUGCUGGUGGCGGGCUCAGAUAUUUUACCUUGAGAAAAUUAGAGUGUUUCAGGCAGGCUAGGCCGGAAUACAUUAGCAUGGAAUAAUGGAAUAGGACUACGGUCUCUUUGUUGGUUUGAGGGACUGCAGUAAUGAUUAAUAGGGAUAGUUGGGGGCAUUAGUAUUUAAUUGUCAGAGGUGGAAUUCUCAGAUUUGUUAAAGACUAACUUGUGCGAAAGCAUUUGCCAAGGAUGUUUUCAUUAAUCAA